AAUCCAUAGGUUAAUGAGGCGAACCGGGGGAACUGAAACAUCUAAGUACCCCGAGGAAAAGAAAUCAACCGAGAUUCCCCCAGUAGCGGCGAGCGAACGGGGAGGAGCCCAGAGCCUGAAUCAGCAUGUGUGUUAGUGGAAGCGUCUGGAAAGGCGCGCGAUACAGGGUGACAGCCCCGUACACAAAAGCGCAUGUGCUGUGAGCUCGAUGAGUAGGGCGGGACACGUGGUAUCCUGUCUGAAUAUGGGGGGACCAUCCUCCAAGGCUAAAUACUCCUGACUGACCGAUAGUGAACCAGUACCGUGAGGGAAAGGCGAAAAGAACCCCGGCGAGGGGAGUGAAAAAGAACCUGAAACCGUGUACGUACAAGCAGUGGGAGCCCCACCACCAAAGCAUUUGCUGUACCGCGUUGACGGAGCGAAGCGACGUCAAACCGAUAAAACAGCAG
rnacentral:rRNA from 2 species